AGCUUUGCGCAGUGGCAGUAUCGUAGCCUAUGAGGUUUAUCCGAGGCGCGAUUAUUGCUAGUUGAAAACUUUACCCAAUACCCCGCCUUGACGACUUGAAAUAUAGUCGGCGAUGGCAAUUUUUGACGGUCUCUACGGAGA
ensembl:snRNA U4 U4 spliceosomal RNA